GGAAAUCAAAAUGGAGUCGGUUUUGCCUUGAUACUGGUUAUUGUGCAAUAGGAUUACCACGUGACCGGCACUGUGCUCAAGACUAGAGGCUCUGACCUGUGCUCGGAGAGAUGGCCACCGGGAUGCUAGAAAGGUCCCAACCCACCUGGCUGGGAUGCAAAGUCCAGGUCCCUGGUGAGGGCGAAAACACAAGAAAGAAAACAUGAAACAGUUCGUCUUCUCCUACUAGGAACCCAUCCACCUGGAAGAGCUAAUAUAAGCGCAAGACCCAACACAGCCCUCCUGCCCGCUCUGGGCUAUGCCAUUAAAAACCCAAAAGGCUGUGGUCUGUGAGCUGCCGUGAGGAAGCAAAUGGUUGUUUCCCGGUCCCCGGAAAAGAGUGAGCUCCACAGUCCCUCACACAGGAUGAGCCAUGGAAACACGUGGCAAGUAAAAACUCAGGGUGGUCCGAACACGGCGAUGAUGGAGCAUCAGAGCAGACAGCUGCAGGAGCCACCUGCCCACGCAGCCCGUGAGGACACAGAGGCAGGGCCUCACAGAAAGGAAGCAGGUAUCAUUUCCAGCCGGUGCUGACUGAACAAUACAAUAAAUGGAAGCUGCUCUAUAUUGGG